rnacentral:rRNA from 1 species
GCAGUCGAGCGAGCGGACUAACAGAUUUACUUCGGUAAUGACGUUAGGAAAGCGAGCGGCGGAUGGGUGAGUAACACGUGGGGAACCUGCCCCAUAGUCUGGGAUACCACUUGGAAACAGGUGCUAAUACCGGAUAAGAAAGCAGAUCGCAUGAUCAGCUUUUAAAAGGCGGCGUAAGCUGUCGCUAUGGGAUGGCCCCGCGGUGCAUUAGCUAGUUGGUAAGGUAAAGGCUUACCAAGGCGAUGAUGCAUAGCCGAGUUGAGAGACUGAUCGGCCACAUUGGGACUGAGACACGGCCCAAACUCCUACGGGAGGCAGCAGUAGGGAAUCUUCCACAAUGGACGCAAGUCUGAUGGAGCAACGCCGCGUGAGUGAAGAAGGUUUUCGGAUCGUAAAGCUCUGUUGUUGGUGAAGAAGGAUAGAGGUAGUAACUGGCCUUUAUUUGACGGUAAUCAACCAGAAAGUCACGGCUAACUACGUGCCAGCAGCCGCGGUAAUACGUAGGUGGCAAGCGUUGUCCGGAUUUAUUGGGCGUAAAGCGAGCGCAGGCGGAAGAAUAAGUCUGAUGUGAAAGCCCUCGGCUUAACCGAGGAACUGCAUCGGAAACUGUUUUUCUUGAGUGCAGAAGAGGAGAGUGGAA